UGCGUAGGCAUCAGAAGUUUCUAUUUAGUUUCAAUUUUUUUUCUUGAUCUCAGGGUCAAGUCUCUAGAAAGUUCAUUGAAAGAAAAAGAGCAUGAGGUGAAACAGGAGCAGCAGAGAAACAGAGAGCUGGAUGCCAAAUUUAAGAAUCUACUCCAGGAGAAAG
rnacentral:sRNA from 1 species